GGCACUAUGGCCGAGUGGUUAAGGCGACAGAUUUGAAUUUAACCCUAUCUGUUCUUCUUUGAAGGCGCAGGUUCGAACCCUGCUGGUGUCG